rnacentral:snoRNA from 1 species
CACACUUUUAUGAUGAAGUAUUUUUCGGAUGUAAAUGACCCAUCAUGGGUCGACUGUCCGAGAGCGCAAAAAACAUGUGGACAACUCCGUUGCCUUCCUUCUGAAACAUAU